rnacentral:rRNA from 1 species
CACGUAGGGGACGAGCGUUGUCCGGAUUCAUUGGGCGUAAAGAGCUCGUAGGCGGCUUCAGUAAGUCAGGUGUGAAAACUCCAGGCUCAACCUGGAGACGCCACCUGAUACUGCUGUGGCUAGGAGUCCGGUAGGGGAGCAUGGAAUUCCUGGGUGUAGCGGUGAAAUGCGCAGAUAUCAGGAAGAACACCCGUGGCGAAGGCGGCUCUCUGGGACGGUACUGACGCUGAGACGCGAAAGCGUGGGGAGCGAACAGG